UACGGAGGGAGCUAGCGUUGUUCGGAAUUACUGGGCGUAAAGCGCGCGUAGGCGGCUUUGUAAGUUAGAGGUGAAAGCCUGGAGCUCAACUUCAGAAUUGCCUUUAAGACUGCAUCGCUUGAAUCCAGGAGAGGUGAGUGGAAUUCCGAGUGUAGAGGUGAAAUUCGUAGAUAUUCGGAAGAACACCAGUGGCGAAGGCGGCUUACUGGUCCGGUUCUGACGCUGAGGCGCGAAAGCGUGGGGAGCAAACAGG
rnacentral:rRNA from 1 species